rnacentral:lncRNA from 1 species
GUCAUGCAAGGGGCAGAACAGUCAAAGGCGGGAAAGGUCUAUGUGAGAAAGAAAUAUAAGAAAUAGAGUCAAGACAAGUCAGAAGUCAAGGCAGUCAAGAAAAAGAAGGGAAUAAAUAAAAUAGAUAGUAUUGGACAGCUGGCGGUAGUCACGUGGAGAAGAGGUUAUAGUCACAGAAAAGGGGAUCGAGGGUUUCUUAUGAAAAGUGUGGAGUAAACUAGGGUUUGGGAGAGGAGCUGGACCUCUCGAAUUCGUCCAUGCAAUUUGUGUGUUUGUCUGUCUUUGGGGUUGUAUUCAGUACUAUCUCAGUCGUGUGAACUGAUUUUUAAGUCUAUUGCUACCAGUUUUUCCGCUUCAUAAUUCAAUUACAGUAGUAUUUGAGUAUAUAUCGCAUCCAGUUCAUCACAAGUGGUAUCAGAGCGAUACGAUCUAUGGCACCUGCUACACCCACGGUAGGACAACGUGUUGAGGAGUUGGAGGAAGCAAUGGGUGGACUGGACAGUAAGAUCUCCGCUAUGGUUUCUCAGGCAGUUGAGAAGGCGGUGGGAGUCAUGAAGCACUCGAUGGUUGAGUUGUUGCUUGAAGGGCAGGCGGAUCAAUCUCGCAAGAACAACGGUGAAUUAGAGGCGGCAGUGUCUCGAUUGGAGGGUAGAAUAGCGAGAUCUCGCGAACACCAAGAGACUCUUCUCUUCUCGAUGAAAAAUGAUCUUGACCACUUUCAGGCUGAGAUCCGUAAUACACUCAGCCAGAUCCCUGCCCCGAAGUCUUCUCCAGAGGUGUUGCAGGCGAGCGCGGGCCCAGCUGACUCAAUGGGUCGCGGAGCGGGUUUCUCCCCAAUUCGAGGUAGUCAUAUGGGGUUAUCUUUUGGCUCGGCGAUGAUGGAUCGCCAGGGACCACCGGGUACUGCUGGGGGACCUGGCAACUGGAGGUUUCGAAAGCUGGAUAUGCCAAUUUUUAAUGGGGAAGAUCCGGAUGAUUGGGUCGUACGUGUUGAGCGGUAUUUCAAUUUUUACCGCCUAACUGAAGAGGAGCGUCUGGAGGCUGUUGUUGUGGCUUUAGAAGGGGAUGCCCUGAAAUGGUUCCAGUGGGAGAAUAAACGUCAUCCGAUUAGGAGAUGGGCUGAUUUGAAGAGUUUUGUCUUGCGCCAGUUUCGAUCUUCCAGUGGUGGUUCGCUUUAUGAACAGUGGCUGGCAACUGUUCAAACAGCCUCGGUGGUGGAAUAUCAGCGCAAGUUUAUCCAGACUGCAGCUCCUUUGGAUCAUUUGUCUGAGGAUAUACUUAUGGGUCAAUUUAUUAAUGGGUUGAAAGACGACAUCAAGGCCGAGUUACGUGUGUUGAGUCCUAUGACUCUUGAGCAGGCGAUGGAGUUGGCGGUUCGGAUUGAAGACAAGCACAACUCAAGUGGGUUCAAGCGGACCACUAUGAGCUCUAUUAGAGGGGGGUUUUCGGGGUAUCCGUCCAAAGGUACUCCCUCUACUGUCACUUCUUUUAUUUCUCAACCUAGCCCUAAUUCAGUUCGAAGUUGGGCAGUGGGUGCCAGUGAGUCGCAGUCCUCUGUUACGUCUCCACGACUGGCGAGCUCACACCCCGCUCGCGGAACAGGGGAGGUUAGGAAAUUGUCGGAUAAGGAAUUGCAAGAUAAAAGGGCCAAGGGUUUAUGUUUUCGAUGUGACGACAAAUGGAAUAUCGGUCACAGGUGUAAGAAGCGGGAAUUGAGUGUUUUGUUGUUGGAAGGAGAUGACGAGGAUGGGCUAGAUGACAGUCACAGUGAACCUCCACCUUCCCCAACGGAGGAACUGUCUCCAGAUGUUAGUAUUCAACCAGAGGUAUCCUUGAAUUCAGUUGUUGGGUUGUCUAAUCCGCGUACCAUGAAGCUGCGUGGCAAGAUAGAUGGGCACGAGGUGAUCGUUUUAAUCGACCCAGGCGCCACUCACAAUUUUGUGUCCUUGUCCAAGGUGGCUGACUUUAAACUGCCUGUUACUCACUCGGGGGGAUUUAGUGUAUCGUUGGGCAAUGGAGAAGCAGUGAAAGGGAAUGGUGUUUGUGAAAGGGUGAGAUUGGAGUUGACUGAUGGGGUCAUCAUAGAGGAAGAUUUUCUGCCGUUGGACUUGGGUACAACUGAUAUGAUUCUGGGCAUUCAAUGGUUGGAAAAAUUGGGGGCGGUGGUGACAAAUUGGAAGUCCCAAGUAAUGCAGUAUACAACUGGUUCGACGAUAGUGACGCUGAUUGGAGACCCAUCCUUAACUAAGUCUAAGAUUUCAUUGAAGACAAUGAUUAAAACCAUUCGGAAGCAGAAGCAAGCCUUUUUGGUGGAGAUCAAUAAGCUCGAGGCUUCCGUUGCGGACCAUCUUCAUACUACGGUGCCUGAGUUUGUGGCUGGUAUAGUGGCAAGACAUGGGAGCCUGUUCACUGAGCCGAAGGGACUACCUCCUACUCGGGGUCACGAGCAUCAGAUUCUGUUAAAGGAGGGCAGCAACCCAGUGGGUGCACGGCCAUACCGUUACCCCCAGUCCCAAAAAGAUGAAAUCGAACGCUUGAUACAGGAGAUGCUUACGGCUGGGAUUAUCAAACCCUCCACCAGCCCUUAUUCUAGUCCGGUAUUAUUAGUCCGCAAGAAGGAUGGUUCAUGGCGUUUUUGUGUUGACUACCGCGCUUUAAACAAGGAAACUAUACCGGACAAAUAUCCCAUCCCCGUGAUAGAAGAACUACUUGAUGAAUUGCAUGGUGCUCGUUAUUUUUCGAAGUUAGACUUGAAGUCCGGAUAUCAUCAGAUCUUGAUUAAGCCCGAAGACACUGCUAAGACUGCUUUUCGCACCCAUGAUGGCCAUUACGAGUUCUUGGUCAUGCCGUUUGGGCUUAUGAAUGCCCCGGCUACGUUUCAGUCGCUCAUGAACGACGUCUUCCGGCCCUACCUUCGAAAGUUUGUUUUAGUUUUCUUCGAUGACAUUUUGGUAUAUAGUCCUACUGCCGAAAGUCACUGUGAGCACUUGGACUUGGUUUUGACAGCAUUGGAGUCUAACAGUUUAGUGGUCAACUUCAAGAAAUGUGUUUUUGGCCAGCAAGAAGUAUCCUACUUGGGCCACGUUAUAUCUGGGAAAGGUGUUGCUGCAGAUAAGGAUAAAAUCCGAGCUAUAUUGGAUUGGGAGCUGCCUAAGAAUCUUCGGGAAUUACGAGGUUUUUUAGGCCUCACUGGCUAUUACAGGAAGUAUGUGGCUAAAUACGCGCAAAUAGCGGGUCCAUUGACAGAUCAGCUACGCAAGGACAGUUUCUGUUGGUCAGAGCAGGCCACCACGGCAUUCAAUCUGUUGAAACAAGCUAUGACCACGCCCCCUGUUCUGGCAACCCCUGAUUUCACUCGUGAGUUUGUAAUUGAAACAGAUGCGUCUGGUAAAGGGCUGGGAGCGGUACUGAUGCAGGGUAACCGUCCGUUGGCGUUUUAUAGUAAGCUGCUAGGUCCUAAGGCUCAACAAAAGCCAAUUUAUGAGAAGGAACUUAUGGCGGUAUGUAUGGCAAUUCAAAAAUGGCGUUACUAUUUAUUGGGGAGACAUUUUGUAGUUCGAACGGACCAGCAGAGUUUACGUUACCUAGCUCAACAAAAGGAGAUUGGGGGGGAAUAUCAGAAAUGGAUGACAAAACUUAUGGGGUAUUCGUUUGACAUCCAAUUCAAGCCGGGCAAGGUUAAUCAGGCAGCAGAUGCAUUGUCCAGGAAAACAACAGGGGAAAUUUCGUUGGCUGCACUUCUAUCCGUUAAUCAGGUAGACUGGGCAGAAUUACACGCGGAGGUGAAAAAGGACCCUUUCUUGAAUCAGGUUCGCCAUGAGUUGGAAACUAAGACUAAGGACCAUAUGGGUUUUGAGUUGGUUGAUGGGAACUUAUUGUAUAAGGGGCGGACGGUUGUUCCGCGUAAUUCUCGUUUCAAGGAGUUGAUAUUACAGAAUUACCACGGUUCUCCGGUUGGUGGUCACAACGGGGAGGUGAAGACGUAUAAACGUGUUGCUACAGAUUGGUUUUGGGUGGGCAUACGUUCGGACGUGAAUAAAUUUGUCCAGGAAUGUCACACUUGCCAGCAGCACAAGUCCUUGCAACAGUCUCCAGCCGGGCUUCUGCAACCCCUUCCCGUGCCAUCCCGGGUGUGGGAGGAUGUGUCAAUUGAUUUUAUUGAGGGUUUGCCGGCUUCUAAAGGGAUGGACACUGUUUUAGUGGUAGUGGACAGACUAUCAAAAUAUGCCCAUUUCUUGGCGUUGAAACACCCUUUCACAGCUGUGUCUGUAGCUGAAUUGUUUGUUCGAGAAGUGGUAAGACUUCAUGGGUUUCCGGCUUCGAUUGUUUCAGAUCGGGAUCGCAUCUUCUUAAGUCUGUUUUGGCGGGAAUUGUUUAAGCUACAGGGAACUGAGUUGAAGCGCAGCACUGCUUACCACCCACAAACGGAUGGGCAAACGGAGAUUGUGAAUAAGGCCUUGGAGACUUAUCUUCGCUGUUUCACCGCCGGGCAGCCUCGUAGUUGGUCCAAAUGGUUGGCUUGGGCGGAGUUUUCUUACAACACUUCACCGCACUCCUCCACUGGGUACACACCCUUCAAGGUAGUUUAUGGGAGAGAGCCCCCUGCAAUUGUUCGAAUCAGUAAGGGUCAGUCUCCAGUGAAUAGUAUUGAUGAUUUGCUGUGUGAGCGUGAUGCGAUUUUAGAUGACUUGCAUUUCAAUCUGCUUCGAGCUCAGCAGCGAAUGAAACAUUUCGCAGAUUUGAAGCGUCGGGAGGAAACAUUUGCUGUGGGGGAUAAUGUGUAUCUACGCCUUCAACCUUAUCGCCAACGCUCCUUGGCGAAACGACCGUUUGAAAAACUUGCUGCUAGAUAUUACGGUCCAUUUGAGAUAAUUGCUCGUGUGGGGGAGGUGGCUUACAAAUUGCUGUUACCAGACUCAUGUCAGUUGCACCCCGUCUUCCAUGUCUCACAACUGCGCCGAGCCAUGGGAUCUCUGGCUUCAUCUCCCACCAUUCCACAGCAGUUGACUUCUGAGUUGGAGCUCAUGGUGAAACCAGAUAAGCUCUUACAAAUUCGAAGGGUGGGGCAUAGUCCAACAGGGCAGUUGGAAGUUCUGAUUCAAUGGAAGAGUCUGCCUGAGUUCGAAGCUACUUGGGAACAACCUGAAGCGAUAAUGGAGCAAUUUCCUGAGUUUCAUCUUGAGGACAAGAUGGCUGUUUGGGGGGAAGGUAAUGUCAUGCAAGGGGCAGAACAGUCAAAGGCGGGAAAGGUCUAUGUGAGAAAGAAAUAUAAGAAAUAGAGUCAAGACAAGUCAGAAGUCAAGGCAGUCAAGAAAAAGAAGGGAAUAAAUAAAAUAGAUAGUAUUGGACAGCUGGCGGUAGUCACGUGGAGAAGAGGUUAUAGUCACAGAAAAGGGGAUCGAGGGUUUCUUAUGAAAAGUGUGGAGUAAACUAGGGUUUGGGAGAGGAGCUGGACCUCUCGAAUUCGUCCAUGCAAUUUGUGUGUUUGUCUGUCUUUGGGGUUGUAUUCAGUACUAUCUCAGUCGUGUGAACUGAUUUUUAAGUCUAUUGCUACCAGUUUUUCCGCUUCAUAAUUCAAUUACAGUAGUAUUUGAGUAUAUAUCGCAUCCAGUUCAUCACAUAGGAGUCCCUUAAAAUGUUCUCAAACUUUAUUCUAUAUGCAUGGAUUAUUAAGUAUCUUACCAAACUAAUUUCUCUUCAUUGAUAUAAGCAAAUUAAACAUCAACUCUUUUGUAAAUGUUACUGUGUGUCCCUUUAAUUAUGUCAUACACAAAUAUGUUAAUCUAUCAUCAAGUCUCAUACCAUAAUUAAUUAUUGCA